rnacentral:misc_RNA from 1 species
CUGGUGUAAAUAAACCUUUGUAUAUCAUGAUAAAAAUAUUUCAUUUAAAUUUUUUUUUUAAUUAUCAAGUACAUGCAUAACAUAACAGACUGCUUAGUUUUAUAUAAUGCAGCUCAUUUAUACAUUAGAGUGGAUGUAUACAUAUGUAUGUGUUACAUUAAUUGUCAAUUGAGUAUAUAUACAAGUGUUGUUUGUCAACAAACUGACUAUGUGUGAAACAUGUAAACAAUUAUACACAAUACCAAUUAUGAAGUAGUGAAUUUUUGAAUGCAUUUGGUAUCAACAAAUUGAUUGUUCAUGGUUUUUACUUUUAAUUUAUAUGUGCAUGGACUUUGUGAAUAAAAAUGUGUUUAUUUUAAAGGAUUUAUAUACACAUGUAAAACAUUGUAAUACUAUGUAUGGAGACCUGUCAUUUUAUUAGAUGAAUAUUUUGAAUACAAUAAAUGAUUCACAAAU